rnacentral:rRNA from 1 species
AGUGAACGCUGGCGGUAGGCCUAACACAUGCAAGUCGAACGGCAGCACAGUAAGAGCUUGCUCUUACGGGUGGCGAGUGGCGGACGGGUGAGGAAUACAUCGGAAUCUACUUUUUCGUGGGGGAUAACGUAGGGAAACUUACGCUAAUACCGCAUACGACCUACGGGUGAAAGCAGGGGAUCUUCGGACCUUGCGCGAUCGAAUGAGCCGAUGUCGGAUUAGCUAGUUGGCGGGGUAAAGGCCCACCAAGGCGACGAUCCGUAGCUGGUCUGAGAGGAUGAUCAGCCACACUGGAACUGAGACACGGUCCAGACUCCUACGGGAGGCAGCAGUGGGGAAUAUUGGACAAUGGGCGCAAGCCUGAUCCAGCCAUACCGCGUGGGUGAAGAAGGCCUUCGGGUUUUAAAGCCCUUUUGUUGGGAAAGAAAAGCAGCAGGUUAAUACCCCGCUGUUCUGACGGUACCCAAAGAAUAAGCACCGGCUAACUUCGUG